UACGUAGGGGGCAAGCGUUGUCCGGAUUUAUUGGGCGUAAAGCGCUCGCAGGUGGUCCGAUGCGUCGUGCGUGAAAGACCCCGGCUCAACUGGGGGGUGUCGUGCGAUACGGUCGGACUGGAGGCCAGUAGGGGGAUGCGGAAUUCCGGGUGUAGUGGUGGAAUGCGUAGAGAUCCGGAGGAACACCAGCGGCGAAGGCGGCAUCCUGGACUGGUCCUGACACUCAUGAGCGAAAGCGUGGGGAGCGAGUCCGG
rnacentral:rRNA from 1 species